UACGUAGGAGGCAAGCGUUGUCCGGAAUCACUGGGCGUAAAGCGCGUGUAGGUGGAAGAGGAAGUCUGCUGUGAAAGCGCCUGGCUUAACCGGGCGAGGUCGGUGGAAACUCCUCAUCUAGAGGUCGGUAGAGGGGGGGUGGAAUUCCGGGUGUAGUGGUGAAAUGCGUAGAGAUCCGGAGGAACACCUGUGGCGAAGGCGGCCCCCUGGGCCCGCACCUGACGGCUGAGACGCGAAAGCGCGGGGAGCGAACGGG
rnacentral:rRNA from 1 species